GUCUACGGCCAUACCACCCUGAACGCGCCCGAUCUCGUCUGAUCUCGGAAGAUAUAUGUUUUACAUCCGUAGCUU
rnacentral:rRNA from 1 species